rnacentral:rRNA from 1 species
UACGUAGGGUGCGAGCGUUAAUCGGAAUUACUGGGCGUAAAGCGUGCGCAGGCGGUUUUGUAAGCCAGAUGUGAAAUCCCCGGGCUUAACCUGGGAAUGGCAUUUGGGACUGCAAGGCUCGAGUGCGGCAGAGGAGACUGGAAUUCCUGGUGUAGCAGUGAAAUGCGUAGAUAUCAGGAGGAACACCGAUGGCGAAGGCAGGUCUCUGGGCCACUACUGACGCUGAGAAGCGAAAGCAUGGGAGCGAACAGG